CAGCAGUGAGGAAUAUUGGUCAAUGGACGAGAGUCUGAACCAGCCAAGUAGCGUGCAGGAAGACGGCCCUAUGGGUUGUAAACUGCUUUUAUAAGGGAAUAAAGUGAGUCUCGUGAGACUUUUUGCAUGUACCUUAUGAAUAAGGACCGGCUAAUUCCGUGCCAGCAGCCGCGGUAAUACGGAAGGUCCGGGCGUUAUCCGGAUUUAUUGGGUUUAAAGGGAGCGUAGGCCGGAGAUUAAGCGUGUUGUGAAAUGUAGACGCUCAACGUCUGCACUGCAGCGCGAACUGGUUUCCUUGAGUACGCACAAAGUGGGCGGAAUUCGUGGUGUAGCGGUGAAAUGCUUAGAUAUCACGAAGAACUCCGAUUGCGAAGGCAGCUCACUGGAGCGCAACUGACGCUGAAGCUCGAAAGUGCGGGUAUCGAACAGGAUUAGAUACCCUGGUAGUCCGCACGGUAAACGAUGGAUGCCCGCUGUUGGUCUGAAUAGGUCAGCGGCCAAGCGAAAGCAUUAAGCAUCCCACCUGGGGAGUACGCCGGCAACGGUGAAACUCAAAGGAAUUGACGGGGGCCCGCACAAGCGGAGGAACAUGUGGUUUAAUUCGAUGAUACGCGAGGAACCUUACCCGGGCUUGAAUUGCAGAGGAAGGAUUUGGAGACAAUGACGCCCUUCGGGGCCUCUGUGAAGGUGCUGCAUGGUUGUCGUCAGCUCGUGCCGUGAGGUGUCGGCUUAAGUGCCAUAACGAGCGCAACCCCUCUCCUUAGUUGCCAUCAGGUUAAGCUGGGCACUCUGGGGACACUGCCACCGUAAGGUGUGAGGAAGGUGGGGAUGACGUCAAAUCAGCACGGCCCUUACGUCCGGGGCUACACACGUGUUACAAUGG
rnacentral:rRNA from 1 species